GUAACACGUGGACAAUCUGCCCCCCGGCCCGGGAUAGCCCAGGGAAACCUGGAUUAAUACCGGAUGAGACGGGACCCGCGAUGGCGGGAUCCGGGAAAGGCGCUGCGGCGCCGCCGGGGAUGAGUCUGCGUCCCAUUAGCUAGACGGCGGGGUAACGGCCCACCGUGGCGACGAUGGGUAGCCGGCCUGAGAGGGUGGACGGCCACAUUGGAACUGAGACACGGUCCAGACUCCUACGGGAGGCAGCAGCUAAGAAUCUUCCGCAAUGGGCGAAAGCCUGACGGAGCGACGCCGCGUGAACGAAGAAGGCCGUGAGGUUAGUAAAGUUCGUUUCGGGAGGGGGAACAACCGUGGCAGGGAAUGGCCGCGGGAUGACGUGAAUCCCGGAAUAAGCCCCGGCUAACUACGUGCCAGCAGCUGC
rnacentral:rRNA from 1 species